CUGCGUCAGGACAAAUAUAGCUCUAGCUGAUCUGGUGUUUCCUCUAACCUGACAGAGGAGCAAAGAAGGGGCCACCACAGAGAGGCGAGGCAGGUCCCGUCACAGGAGGAAACCCACACAGACACAAGGAGAACAUGCAAACUCCACACAGAAAGGACCUGGGACAGCCUGGGGUUCAAACCCAGGACCUUCUUGCUGCGAGGCAACAGUGCUGACCACUGGACCACCG